rnacentral:rRNA from 1 species
CAGUAGCCGCGGGAAUACGUAGGUGGCAAGCGUUGUCCGGAAUUAUUGGGCGUAAAGCGCGCGCAGGCGGAUAGGUCAGUCUGUCUUAAAAGUUCGGGGCUUAACCCCGUGAUGGGAUGGAAACUGCCAAUCUAGAGUAUCGGAGAGGAAAGUGGAAUUCCUAGUGUAGCGGUGAAAUGCGUAGAUAUUAGGAAGAACACCAGUGGCGAAGGCGACUUUCUGGACGAAAACCGACGCUGAGGCGCGAAAGCCAGGGGAGCGAACGGGAUUAGAUACCCCGGUAGUCCCUGUCUCUUAUACA